rnacentral:misc_RNA from 1 species
GAUGAAGAACGCAGCAAAAUGCGAUAAGUAAUGUGAAUUGCAGAAUUCAGUGAAUCAUCGAAUCUUUGAACGCACAUUGCGCCCCCCAGUAUUCUGGCGGGCAUGCCUGUUCGAGCGUCAUUUCAACCAUCAAGCCCUGCUUGUGUUGGGGUCCUGCGGCUGCCCGCAGGCCCUGAAAACCAGUGGCGGGCUCGCUAGUCACACCGAGCGCAGUAGCACAUCUCGCUCAGGGCGUGCGGCGGGCUCCAGCCGUUAAAGCACCCACCUUUCGCAAGGUUGACCUCGGAUCAGGUAGGAAUACCCGCUGAACUUAAGCAUAUCAAUAAGCGGAGGA